rnacentral:rRNA from 1 species
UCCAGACUCCUACGGGAGGCAGCAGUGGGGGAUAUUGCACAAUGGGGGGAACCCUGAUGCAGCGACGCCGCGUGGGUGAAGGAGCGUUUCGGCGCGUAAAGCCCUCUCGGCAGGGAAGAAGGAGGACGGUACCUGACUAAGAAGCCCCGGCUAACUACGUGCCAGCAGCCGCGGUAAUACGUAGGGGGCAAGCGUUAUCCGGAUUUACUGGGUGUAAAGGGGGCGCAGACGGCAGCGCAAGCCAGGAGUGAAAGCCCGGGGCCCAACCCCGGGACUGCUCUUGGAACUGCGCGGCUGGAGUGCAGGAGGGGCAGGCGGAAUUCCUGGUGUAGCGGUGAAAUGCGUAGAUAUCAGGAGGAACACCGGUGGCGAAGGCGGCCUGCUGGACUGCGACUGACGUUGAGGCCCGAAAGCGUGGGGAGCAAACAGGAUUAGAUACCCUCGUACAU